rnacentral:siRNA from 1 species
AAAUCAGCAUCCAUUCAGGGCCU